rnacentral:misc_RNA from 1 species
UAAACAGUAGCACUCUAACUCAAAGGGGAAGGGACACUAAUCCUGCAAAAUUUCAGACCCUCUUGCUAUUUCUCAAGAUCCUUCACCUUUUCUUUUUUAUGUACCUCAUAUAUAUAUUACUUUUAUCCUCAGUUCUCUACCUCCCAUGUAUAUCUUUUUAUUUUCAAAAUUCAUGGUGGGAAAAACGUCUUAUGCAUCUUCAUUUCCUGGUUUUUGAAUUCUGCUUUUCCAGCAAUAGUUCUCUGAUUUUACGUCAUCGUCAUCCUCCAUACUGUCGCCCCCCGUGCCUGCUAACUGAAGGGGACCUUGUGGUGAGCCGGAUUGAGAACUACAAGCCUUUGAUGAAUUGGCAUACGGAUCUUGAGGCACCACUAAUCCCCCAAGAACGACUACGGAUUGGUUUGCCGAGGCAACUGCAGAUGCUGGAAGUCUUCUUGCGUGGAGUCGGAAUUUCUGCAGAUGGCUCUUCACUUCGUCGUUGGUGAGGCCAUCUACCUGCAUAAGUUCUCUAAUCUGCUUCGGCGUGGCCACCUGUGAUCCCCCAAGUUGCUGUAAGGCACUAACGAAACGGCGAUGCAACUCCUUUGACCAACAUCUCCUCUGCUUGCGAGAGCACUGCUGUUUCUGCUGCUGCAUUCCGG